UACGUAGGGGGCAAGCGUUGUCCGGAAUCAUUGGGCGGAAAGAGCGUGUAGGCGGCUUGGUAAGUCCGCUGUGAAAGUCCAGGGCUCAACCCUGGAAAGCCGGUGGAAACUGUCAAGCUUGAGUCCGGAAGAGGCGAGUGGAAUUCCUGGUGUAGCGGUGAAAUGCGCAGAUAUCAGGAGGAACACCAAUGGCGAAGGCAGCUCGCUGGGACGGUACUGACGCUGAGACGCGAAAGCGUGGGGAGCAAUCAGG
rnacentral:rRNA from 1 species